GCUGGCCUCGGGGCCGAUGAUCACGUGACCCAGGUUCUCGCCCCGGCCGUCUUCUGUUGCCUCUGCCACCGUCACCCUCAGGGAGAGUUCCUGCAAACAGCAUGAUACGGUUACACAACCUGCUGCGAAAAACAUCACACACACAAACAAACACUUACAAAUAGCACAAUAUAAUAAGACCUGAGAGGCCUGAAGGAGAAAGGCUUGACUACGCCCCGUUUGAUGCCACAGUCUAACCUGCAGGACGAUGGACGGCACAGAGAAGAUCAUGGCUUCGUUGAAGAUGGGGUUUGUGUCGUCCCGUUUGGUGGAAGUCUUCUUCUUGCUGAUCUUCUUGCCGUCUUGCAGGAGAUACACUUUGACAAACGGAUCUGAUAACAAGAGUGAGCGAAUAAGAUUACUACCUUCUAAGCUUUUAAAACCCAAGCUACACACAUAAACACCCCCGCGCACAGUUUGUAGAGCAUGUAAUAAACUUCUCAUUAAAGAGUAAUCAGUUAGAAGCACAGUCCUGUACACACAGUUAGCUCUGCGGAUGAUAAUGACAGUGUUUCAGUGGGUGACCUUUAACGGUACAAUGUUAGUGAGGCACUUAUCUGGACAUUUAAUGUGAUGAACAAGUCAUUUAAGUCCCAUCUGCCUGUCUGGAUAUGAAUAAAUGUUUUCAUAUCCUCUGGGAGAUGACAUUGAGAGUCUAUUAUUACUGAGUCUGUAAUCAUUUUGUUCUGUUUGGAUGGAAUUCAAAAGCAGACAGAUUUAUUCAUAGUUCAUACAAAGAGUAACAGACACUCAGGUAGCUCCCGUUCACACACAUUUAGAAAUGAAACACAAACGGA